CUGAUUGCUGAUGGAGCAUCAUCAAGAUUCACAAGCUUCAAGGGGUUUUGUUUGGGGUGGUCCCUUAUUGCUCCCAAAUAAACUUACCCUUUUGAUAUGGGAAUCUUGAUGAUGCUGCAGCAGCAAUAAA
rnacentral:pre_miRNA from 1 species